CUACGGGUGGCAGCAGUGGGGAAUACUGCACAAUGGAGGAAACUCUGAUGCAGCAACGCCGCGUGGAGGAUGACACUUUUCGGAGCGUAAACUCCUUUUAUAUAGGAAGAAGAUGACGGUACUAUAUGAAUAAGCGCCGGCUAACUCCGUGCCAGCAGCCGCGGUAAUACGGAGGGCGCAAGCGUUACUCGGAAUCACUGGGCGUAAAGAGCGUGUAGGCGGAUUAAAAAGUCAGAAGUGAAAUCCUAUAGCUUAACUAUAGAACUGCUUCUGAAACUCUUAAUCUAGAAUAUGGGAGAGGUAGAUGGAAUUUCUGGUGUAGGGGUAAAAUCCGUAGAGAUCAGAAGGAAUACCGAUUGCGAAGGCGAUCUACUAGAACAUUAUUGACGCUGAGACGCGAAAGCGUGGGGAGCAAACAGGAUUAGAUACCCCCGUAGUC
rnacentral:rRNA from 1 species